rnacentral:rRNA from 1 species
GUUUCAUUUAAAUUUAUAAUAAAAUUUUAUUUUUUAGUUAAAAAGCUAAAAUAUUUUUAAAAGACGAGAAGACCCUAUAAAUCUUUAUAUUUAAUUUUAUUUUAAUUUAUUUAGAUAAAUUUUAUUUUAAUAAAAUUAAAUAUUUUAUUGGGGUGAUAUUAAAAUUUAAUGAACUUUUAAUUAAAAUUUUCAUAAAUAAAUGUUUUUUUGAUCCAUUAUUAAUGAUUAAAAAUUUAAGUUACUUUAGGGAUAACAGCGUAAUUUUUUUAGAGAGUUCAUAUUGAUAAAAAAGUUUGCGACCUCGAUGUUGGAUUAAGAUAUAUUUUUAAAUGCAGAAGUUUAAAUAUUAAGUCUGUUCGACUUUUAAAUUCUUACAUGAUCUGAGUUCAAACCGGUGUAAGCCAGGUUGGUUUCUAUCUUUAAAUAUAUAAAAUAUUUUAGUACGAAAGGAUUAAAUAUUUGAAUUAUAAAAUUUUAUAUUUAGAAU